rnacentral:lncRNA from 1 species
CCCCAUGCGGCCCACGAUGAGGUGGUUACAAACAUCGCUAUCAGUCUGUUGCUUCCUCCGCCUAUAAAAAGGGGACCCCAGAUACGUUAUUCUAUAAGCUCUCAUUUUUUACCUAGAAACUCUGCUAAAAUUUUCAUUCGAGCACUCUAUUCUUGUUGAGGCAGAGAACUGACUUGAGCAUCGGAGGGUCUUGUCGGAGCAACCCCACCUCCGAUUUAGACUUCC